CCUACGGGUGGCUGCAGUUAGGAAUUUUGCGCAAUGGGGGAAACCCUGACGCAGCAACGCCGCGUGAGUGAUGAAGGCCUUCGGGUUGUAAAGCUCUUUUAGCAGGGAAGAUAAUGACGGUACCUGCAGAAAAAGCACCGGCUAACUCCGUGCCAGCAGCCGCGGUAAUACGGAGGGUGCAAGCGUUAUUCGGAAUGACUGGGCGUAAAGCGCACGUAGGCGGUUUGCUAAGUCUGAUGUGAAAUCCCUGGACUCAAUCCAGGAAGUGCAUUGGA
rnacentral:rRNA from 1 species